UGAGAUCAUCUGCACACUCCACAGAGCUCCAGAGUUACUGUUCAUAGCAAAAGUGUAAUGCUGCCCUGUGUGCCACAGAUGACUAUCGGAGCAGGCUGUCAUCCAAACAAGGUGAAGGUCUCUGACCCUGGAGUGGCAAAGACGGCCUCCAAGCCUUCCAGCCAACAUACUUCACUGAAGGUGGCUCGGCUGCAGAUAUUCCACUGGACAUAGGAGAGCGUGACCUCAGCCAGCUGACAGCCUCUCUUACAACACCCUCAGGCCCAGAGGAGCCCUGCCUGCUGAAGAUGCUGCGUAACGCUCACAUCGGAAUCUCCUUUGCUCCCAAGGAGAUUGGUGAGCACCUUGUUAACAUCAAGAAGAACGGCCGUCAUGUUCCCAGCAGCCCAAUUGCUGUUAUGAUCAAGCAGUCAGGGAUUGGUGAUGUGAGCCGUGUGCGUGUGAGCGACCGUGGCUGACCGAGGACAGGACUUUUCAGCCUUGAGAGUUCAUCAUUGAUGCAGGAUAUCCAUCAACGGCAGAUACUGGUCUCCAUGACACAGAUACUGGAGUGGUCUGAGAGAAAGGAAUCUGUGUCUCUGGACCAAAAUGACUGUACGUGUAGUGCUGUAGAAACAAUACUGCCCACAAACCUUGAUGUUUCUAUAUGUGGAAACCUUCAAGUAUCCGUAUCCUCCUGUAAGGUUUUGCCCUGAGCUGAACCGCUGCCUCCUUCUCUGUUGUGGUACUCAGCGGUGACCAAGAUGCUGUAACGUGCAUCUGGCUGCAGUGACUCCAGCAUCACCUGCUUCUCUCACCAGGGACCAGCACCUGCAGACAACAAACAACACUAUCAUCCCAACACAGUCAGAACUCAUUUAAAGUUUUGGGACUUGUGGAAUUUCUGGAAUUCUGACACAUGACAGCCGGCUGAAGC
rnacentral:lncRNA from 1 species